rnacentral:rRNA from 1 species
GAUGAACGCUGGCGGCGUGCCUAAUACAUGCAAGUCGAGCGAACAGACGAGGAGCUUGCUCCUCUGACGUUAGCGGCGGACGGGUGAGUAACACGUGGAUAACCUACCUAUAAGACUGGGAUAACUUCGGGAAACCGGAGCUAAUACCGGAUAAUAUAUUGAACCGCAUGGUUCAAUAGUGAAAGACGGUUUUGCUGUCACUUAUAGAUGGAUCAGCGCCGCAUUAGCGAGUUGGUAAGGUAACGGCUUACCAAGGCAACGAUAGGUAGCCGACAGGAGAGGCUGAUCGGCCACACUAGAACUGAGACACGGUCCAGAGUCCUACGAGAGGCAGCAGUAGGCAAUCUUUCGCAGUAGGCGAAAGCUUGACGGAGCAGCCCCGCGUCAGUGAUAAAGGUCUUCGGAUCGUAAAACUCUGUUAUUAGGGAAGAACAAAUGUGUAAGUAACUAUACACGUCUUGACGGUACCUGAUCAGAAAGCCACGGCUAACUACGUG